UACGGGGGGGGCAAGCGUUGUUCGGAAUUACUGGGCGUAAAGAGCUCGUAGGCGGUUUGUCGCGUCUGCCGUGAAAGUCCGGGGCUCAACUCCGGAUCUGCGGUGGGUACGGGCAGACUAGAGUGAUGUAGGGGAGACUGGAAUUCCUGGUGUAGCGGUGGAAUGCGCAGAUAUCAGGAGGAACACCAAUGGCGAAGGCAGCUCGCUGGGACGGUACUGACGCUGAGGCGCGAAAGCUAGGGGAGCAAACGGG
rnacentral:rRNA from 1 species